rnacentral:rRNA from 1 species
GAAUUUUAUAUAAAUUUAAUAUUAAAGAUUUAAUUAAAAAUUUAUUAGGUUUAUAUUUCAUUGGGAGGAUGGUUAAAUUAAAAAAACUUUAAGAUAUAGAAACCAUUAAUUUGUGAUUAUGAAGAGAUAUGAAUGGUUAGAGAUAAAUUUAAGUAAAAUUAAUUACCUUAGGGAUAACAGCGUAAUAUUUUUAGAGAGAUCUUAUUAAUAAAAGUGUUUGC